ensembl:lncRNA
CUGCCUUCAUUAAGGAGCACAUCUGGACGCGUCGAGCAGACGGAUGGGCCAGGAGAAGAUUCUCUACAGCCAUGGCGCUAUCAGACUGAUUAUAGAACAUGGCAGAAGGCAUGAAGGACCUUCCAAGGCAUGAAGAACCUUCCAAGAGGUUUUGUGACUGUUCUGUGUUUUCUACCAGACUGCAGUCUCUAUAAGGAGUAAAGUAUGAAGCGUGUCCUGUUUUUGGAAGUCGAGUCAUCACAGAGUCCCGCUUCUCAGACAUGUCAAAUCAUCCAUGUAAUGGCUACUGAGAGUUGGAUGCAUCUGAAGUUCCUGAUUGGAUUAGACACGUAAUAAGUUUGGAUUCGUAUUUGAGGCCAAAAUAUUAUGCUAA